UACAGAGGGGGCAAGCGUUGUUCGGAAUUACUGGGCGUAAAGGGCGCGUAGGCGGCCCGCUAAGUCGAACGUGAAAUCCCCGAGCUCAACUCGGGAACUGCGUCCGAUACUGGUGGGCUUGAAUCCGGGAGAGGGAUGCGGAAUUCCAGGUGUAGCGGUGAAAUGCGUAGAUAUCUGGAGGAACACCGGUGGCGAAGGCGGGAUCCUGGGCCAGUACUGACGCUGAGGAGCGAAAGCGUGGGGAGCAAACAGG
rnacentral:rRNA from 1 species